CAAGUCUCAAAUGCUACAGAACAAUACCACAAAAAGAAAAAGAAAAAGCACUAUGAGAACUGAACAAUUAAAUUUUCUCCUCAAGUUAUUAUUGCACAAAUGACAACUAAUCCUUCAAGAAGCAAACAUAAAAAAAAAAUAUUUUCUACAAAAUCUACUGUCAUUACUUCUCUCCAUUUAGUAUAAGUGAACUCUACCCUUACUCAGAUGCGUUUUCCAAAUCUCAUACGAAGAACAGGGAAUCGCUCUAUGCUCAUACAAGUCUCAAAUGCUACAGAACAAUACCACAAAAAGAAAAAGAAAAAGAAAAAGCACUAUGAGAACUGAACAAUUAAAUUUUCUCCUCAAGUUAUUGUUGCACAAAUGACAACUAAUCCUUCAAGAAGCAAACAUAAAAAAAAAAAUAUUUUCUACAAAAUCUACUGUCAUUACUUCUCUCCAUUUAGUAUAAGUGAACUCUACCCUUACUCAGAUGCGUUUUCCAAAUGCAUCAGAUAGGUAUGUCUAACUUCAUAAAACGUUUUCCAAUCGUAGCAAAUUUGACUACUGCAAGAAUCGUCCUAUGCUUCGGGCCUUGCCGAAAGUAAGAAUAGUUUUUCUUCUUUUAUCGUCCAUGAAUUCGAAAUAUGUCAAAUUCAUUGCGGCUCGUACUUGCCAUGAUUACCUCAGCUUGAACAAAGAAUAUUUUGAUCAGCGCACAUAAGGGAACGUCGUCUUCCUUACUCAGAUGCGUUUUCCAAAUGCAUCAGAUAGGUAUGUCUAACUUCAUAAAACGUUUUCCAAUCGUAGCAAAUUUGACUACUGCAAGAAUCGUCCUAUGCUUCGGGCCUUGCCGAAAGUAAGAAUAGUUUUUCUUCUUUUAUCGUCCAUGAAUUCGAAAUAUGUCAAAUUCAUUGCGGCUCGUACUUGCCAUGAUUACCUCAGCUUGAACAAAGAAUAUUUUGAUCAGCGCACUGCUUUGAAUAUCCCAUAUGCUGCAACUUCAGAAACAUGGUGAUUUGGCAUCUAAGGAUUUACAUUGCAAUCACUCAAGAACUGAUUUUGUAGGUUCAGAAACUUCCUCCAAGAACUUUUGUAUUUAGGAAUGCCAAGCUCGAGCCACGGUUUCAUGUUUCCAUUGAAAUGCAAAACCGCUGCUGUCCUCAGGGCAUCGUCUUCAUGACCAUAAUUAAGGCCCAGGCCUGAUAACAUCCAACUGUCAUCAAGAGCAUAAACUUGACCUUGAAAGGUGAGCAUACUUGCACUUAGUGCAGUAGCUUCAGAUAAUCCUUCUUCUGUGCUCAUCUGCUCUUCACAUUGUAUAACAAAGUAAUGGUCAGAAAAUGGGUAGGCAGACAACAGCAGGAACCAUCUAUAAUAUCAAAUUGAUAUAUCAAAUGAUAGUCAAUCAAAAUAUGUGCAAGUGCAGGGACCAUUCAACUGAGACGCCAAAAACAAAUUCAACAAGUGACAGUAGAACAAGUUAAUGAAUUUUUUUUAAAAUUCUCAAUUCAAUCCUUGACAAGUUAUGUAGCAUUCAAAAAAAAUAUACAGGUUUGUUAACAGCCAAACAGGAUUUCAAGCAGGUUAACAAGAAUAAAAUUUUUAAAGUCAUUGGAUUCAGCUUGAGGAGUUGAUUUGGGUCCGCACCCAUGUUAGGUGUGCACGCGCACACGCACGUUUAUUUAAGUAUAUAAUACAUACAUCAGGGAGAACUCAGAAGUGCGGCCAAAGAGCAAGCUGGAUGCUCCGCGUUGAGACAAACCAGACCCACGCUCUUUCCAUUAUCGAUAACAUCCAACUGUCAUCAAGAGCAUAAACUAGACCCCGAAAGGUGAGCAUACUUGCACUUAGUGCAGUAGUUUCAGAUAAUCCUUCUUCUGUGCUCAUCUGUUCUUCACAUUGUAAAAGAAAGUAACGGUCAGAAAAUGGGUAGGUACACGAGCAGGAACAGUCUGUAAAAUCAAACUGCCUGAUAUAUCAAAUGUUAAAUCAAAAAAAUUAUGUGCAAGUACAGGGACCAUUCGACAUAUGACAGUAGAGCGAGUUUGAAUUAUUUUAAAAUUCUCAAUUCGUUUCUUGACAAGUUAU
rnacentral:lncRNA from 1 species